ACGGUCCUAAGGUAGCGAAAUUCCUUGUCGGGUAAGUUCCGACCCGCACGAAAGGUGUAACGAUUUGGGCACUGUCUCAACGAGGGACCCGGUGAAAUUGAAAUACCUGUGAAGAUGCAGGUUACCCGCGACUGGACAGAAAGACCCCAUGGAGCUUUACUGUAACCUGACAUUGGGUUUUGUUGUAUUACGUACAGGAUAGGUGGGAGGCUUGGAAGGCUGGACGCUAGUCUGGCUGGAGCCGUCGUUGGGAUACCACCCUUGAUACAACGGAAUUCUAACCGAGAGAGUAACGAAAUCCGGGACAGUGUCAGGCGGGCAGUUUGACUGGGGCGGUCGCCUCCGAAAGAGUAACGGAGGCGCCCAAAGGUUCCCUCAGCGCGGCCGGAAAUCGCGCGAAGAGUGUAAAGGCAGAAGGGAGCUUGACUGCGAGCCAAACACGGCGAGCAGGUACGAAAGUAGGGCUUAGUGAUCCGGUGGUACCGAGUGGAAGGGCCAUCGCUCAACGGAUAAAAGCUACCCUGGGGAUAACAGGCUAAUCUCUCCCAAGAGUCCAUAUCGACGGGGAGGUUUGGCACCUCGAUGUCGGCUCAUCACAUCCUGGGGCUGAAGUCGGUCCCAAGGGUUGGGCUGUUCGCCCAUUAAAGUGGUACGUGAGCUGGGUUCAGAACGUCGUGAGACAGUUCGGUCCCUAUCCAUCGCGGGCGCAAGAGAUUUGAAGGGGUCUGCUCCUAGUACGAGAGGACCGGAGUGGACGGACCGCUGGUGUACCAGUUAUUCCGCCAGGAGUACAGCUGGGUAGCUACGUCCGGACUGGAUAAACGCUGAAAGCAUCUAAGCGUGAAGCCAUCCUUAAGAUGAGAUCUCUCACAGAGUAAUCUGGUAAGACACCUUAAAGAAGAUGAGGUAGAUAGGCCGGGAGUGUAAGUGCAGCAAUGUAUUGAGCUGACCGGUACUAAUAUGUCGAGGGCUUGACUUC
rnacentral:rRNA from 2 species